AAUAUACUUUCAUUUAUCCCUCAGAAAACAUUCACCUGAACAUGGCCUUGUAUUGUAUUUCACAUUUUAUUUUAAAAAGGUUCUUGUUGUUGCUGCUGUGUGGCCAUGUGAAAGACAUCUUAAGUUACUGUUUUAUAACAUAACUCCAUUCU